AAAACGGGCUAAUGACUUGAGAACUGGCAUGCAGUAGGUGUUGCAUAAAUGCUCCUUCCCUUCUGUAUGCUGCUGGGUGAGGAGACAGGGCCAGGGGCUGGGAUGCUGGCAGGAAGCUGCCCCCAGCCGGGAGGCAUCCUGAGUUUCCUGCCUUGCUCCUCACCUGGGAGAGCUGGGCUGUGGGGGGUGACACUGGGGUUCAAAUGCUCCCAGAAAAGGUGACCAGAAUGACAAUGGGGACAGUGCCAGGCAAGGGGCUGAUGGCUCACACUGCUGACCUGCGGUGUCCUGAGGGCCUCAGGUCCUGACCCACUCCGUCCUCAGAGCCCUGGCUGGCGGGAUUCAUGUUGGGAAGCGGCCCAGAGAGGUGAGGCGGCUUAUCCCGGGCACACAGCAAUGAGAAGUGGCCAGGGGAUCUGAAGCCAGGCCCAAGAGGUCCAGAGCCCCACUUUUCACACCACUUCUGGGGGGCGAGGGGUGCCUAGAACGGUCUCUCGGCCCCCAUAAGGGAGGGCACGGCACCAGUGUCACCGAGGUGAAGGAGCAGAGAGAUUGUCUCCUGUCCACCUGUCUGUCCUUACCCCACGGAGGGCAGCAGCAGCAGUGAGCAGUCCAAAAAGCCAGGCUCAGGGGCCUUCUCCUCCCUGCCCUGCCCCAAACCAGCAGGUGGGACAUGUGUCACGUCCACGCCCCUCAUGGCACCCAGGGGCGGCGAGCCCGGCCAGCUGCCAAAGCCAUUGCACGCGGCACACUAAUUCCUUCAGCCCGAAGCCACAGGGGCCACCUCGCCCGCUGGUCCUGCUGGGUGCACACACCGACAGACGCACAGAACCACACACUCAGAACCACACACACACACACACAGCCCCUGGGGAGGUGGAGAAAAGAGCCCUGACUGGAAGCCCACCUGACCUGCCUGUCCUGCCAGCGCCAAGGGGAGGGAGGGAGGCCUGGCAGGCGGCCGGGGUCCGAGACUCAAGGAGCAGUUACAGAGAGAGUGCGCCCACCGUGGCGAUGGGUAACCACGGGGACAAAAGCACACUCAUACCCUCCCCGGCUGCCCGCUGCCAGGGGCUGGGGUCUCCAGAGCCACCUGGGAAGAGAAGAGACCCGGUGUUCAUUCAGUCUCCAUUCAGGGAGGCAUCCACCCAGCCAGCCAGCCUUCGCGCUCCACCCGUCAUCCUAGGAAUGUCACCGGGCACCUGCAGCAGGCCGAGCCUCCUCCAGGCAGCCAUCAGACCGUCGGAAGCCCUGGCUGACAUGAGCUUGGUGCCGAAAGGAUACAGAGAAGACAGGAUGCUUCCUAGCAGCAAGGACCGCCUCGCCGAACCCUCACAGUGCCACCAGCACUGCCACGUUACAGGUGAGGAAGCUGACUUGACAAGAAAGGGAACCAGAGACAGAAACACCCGAACAGCCAACGACGCAUGAUGGUAUAAGCCAGGCCCCCGAAUGUCCUGGGAGGGUCCUGGUUUUCAGCCCAUGUCCCCACGUAACAGGUAAUGGUGCCAUCUGCACUCUCACACGUGCCCUGGUUUGGACCCCAGUGAAGCCAGCUGAGCUCCCUUCCCAUUCUAGAGCUGAGGAAAGGAUGCAAUAUUGAGGGGGAGAGGGAAAGAGAGAGAGAGAGAGAGGGACGGAGCAGUCCCUGCGGGCUUCCUGGAAGAGGCGGGGCUGAGCUGCUCCUGGAGUCGGAGACACUGCUGCCUGAGACCCCAUGUCUGUGACCCAGGCCAGGGCUCAGCUUUGUUCCUUUGUUUAAGGACGCUAUGGUCUGGGGGAUCCCUAACCCUAACCCUAACACUGGGUACCAGCCAGGGUCAGGGAUGGGGCCUGGGACUGCCUGGGGCAGGUGUGCCCACCUGGCUGCCAAGGGUGCAAGGAAGGGGCGGAGGUCCAUGCUGUGCUUCAGUGAUAGGCACAAAGCCCCCAAUGGCCCCUGGCUGCCCUCCCAGCACCCACGAGGCAGGCUGCGCCCGGGCCCGCUCCUGGCACCCAGUGCCCCGCCCCCUGGGAGGACAAGGUGCCCCGCCUUCCGCUGCCACAGGUGCCUCGUGGCCUGGCACCUGCCUGUCCUGGCAGGGCUGGGGCUGCCCCCGGCCUGAUGGAGCCACGGCCCACUGUCUUCCAGCCAAAGCCCCGCUGUGAUGCUGGGGAACCUUCUCAAAGCUGAGAGAACGUCUUUGUAAAUAGGGUUGGAUUUCCCAUAAUUGGGGCUACAGUUUAUGCUGCCUUGUGGGUCAGGAUGCAAGCUCUGUGCCACACUGUUGUCUCGGUUCUGCCCACCUGACCAGCCUGGGGACAUCCACAAGUCACCUGACCUCCGUGUCUCGGUCUUCUCAUCUGGAACGCGCGGGAGGAACGGUGCCUACACACAGGGUAUGGGGAGGGUCAGUGAAGUGGUGCCUGCCAAGUGUGGCAAAGAGCCUGGUAUGCAGGAGGUGCUCACUAAAUGCCAGCUACUACAGUCCUUGCAGAUGGGACUCCCAGAAGAGAAGGGACCUGGUGUCUGAGACUCAGAAGGAUGCUUGUCCCCUUUCCUCUGCCCUCCACGACCUCACCAACAUGUUGGUGGUUCCUGCUCGCAUACCCCUGAGGACGGGGAGCUCACUACCUCACAGCCAGUGGGCCUGCAGAUGGGCGUGGAGUGUGCGCCCCUUGUCAGUGUGUUCCUUCGCAAUCAGAUUAAGUCCAAGCCAGGGAGUGGAGGGUCAGGACGCGAGUCCAUGCCUCCCACCUCCCAGCCUGGGGUCCUGGAUGUCACCUGAGUGGCCAAGAAGCUGGCUGUGAUGGGAGGAGGGGUGGAGAAGCCGUCGCACCUCAGCUGGUGUGAAACGAGCUCUGAGGCUUCAGUGUCCCUGUGCCGUGCGGAUCUGUGUCCCUCCCCGGCCCUCCGGGAGGCUGCCCCUUGGCCUCCUCCACCUGCUCCUGAGCCCCCAGAUCUGCCUGGCUCCUCUCUCGGCUCUCCUACCCUUUCCCUCCCACUUCCGAAGCAGGAGGGGACCUGGGAGAUGGGUCACCUGGGUUCUGGACCCUGCUUUGUCCCGGGGGCUGGGCAGCCCCAGGCAGGGGUGCUCCCUUCUCUGGGCCUCGGCAUCGCCUCUACAGGAAGGGAGGGGACGAGUCAUGACCUCUCUGAGCCAUCAGGCUCCGUGCUUUGCCUCUAGUGGCCAGGAGGGCAGCAGGCUCACCUGUGCACACCCUUGGGUGCCCAGCACGGGCCCAGUGGGCACUGUGGAAAGAGGAGCUGCCCUGAUGGGGGCAGUGGGGACUUGCCAGGGGAUCCUGGGGCUGCAGCAUUUGCUGCCAUGCCUCAGUGCUCUGUGAUGCCCCCUUACAAUCCUGGCCCCUGGGCUCAGACUAGGGCCAUUAUGCCAACCCCUGGGGACAGGGCUUAUGUUCCACACACGCACCCAAGUCCCCUGCAGCCAGGGCAGCCCUCACCGAGUCCCAGCUCCCCCCCCCCCGCCCUCACCCACUGCCCUGGGAGGGGCCACCUCGGGACUCACCCAGCGGCAGGAGCAUUUGCCACUUGGGGCUCUUCUGGUCCAUGAGAAUGGGCUGUCUCAGCCCCUGGCCCCCUGGCCCGGCCACCUUGGAGCAGCUCCCUUGGGCCUGGGAGAGCUGAGGGGGCAGGGCAGCACGUCGGGGAGUGGGGGGAACAAAGGAAGCCCCCUCCCAGGUCUGCAGAUCCGCCUGGGAGGCAGACUCCUGAGAAGCCAGCUGAGAGAGUGCCAAGAGAGCC
rnacentral:lncRNA from 1 species